rnacentral:rRNA from 1 species
UACGUAGGGUGCAAGCGUUAAUCGGAAUUACUGGGUGUAAAGCGUGCGCAGGCGGCUAUGCAAGACAGAUGUGAAAUCCCCGGGCUCAACCUGGGAACUGCAUUUGUGACUGCAUAGCUAGAGUACGGUAGAGGGGGAUGGAAUUCCGCGUGUAGCAGUGAAAUGCGUAGAUAUGCGGAGGAACACCGAUGGCGAAGGCAAUCCCCUGGACCUGUACUGACGCUCAUGCACGAAAGCGUGGGGAGCAAACGAGG